rnacentral:rRNA from 1 species
GCGAAAACUUUGCAAUACACGAAAGUGUGACAGGGUCAUCCCGAGUGCCGACCGCUGAGGUUGGCUUUUACCCAGUCUAGAAAGCUGGGGGAAUAAGGAGAGGGCAAGUCUGGUGUCAGCCGCCGCGGUAAUACCAGCUCUCCGAGUGGUGUGGACGUUUAUUGGGCCUAAAGCAUCCGUAGCUGGCUGAACAAGUCCCCUGUUAAACCCACCGAUUUAAUCGUUGGUCUGCGGGGGAUACUGCUCGGCUAGGGGACGAGAGAGGCAGACGGUAUUCCCGGGGUAGGGGUGAAAUCCUAUAAUCCCGAGAAGACCACCAGUGGCGAAGGCUGUCUGCUAGAACGCGCCCGACGGUGAGGGAUGAAAGCUGGGGGAGCGAACCGGAUUAGAUACCCGGGUAGUCCCAGCUGUAAACGAUGCAGACUAGGUGUUUGGACGGCCACGUGCCGUUCUAGUGCCGCAGGGAAGCUGUUAAGUCUGCCGCCUGGGGAGUACGAUCGCAAGAUUGAAACUUAAAGGAAUUGGCGGGGGAGCAC